UUUGGCCUUUACUACCUUCUCCUUCGCUACUUUCAAGCCCGCAAGAACAAGUGAACGCUGCAUGGCCACCGCUGUCUUCCGGCAACACCCUUUUAAACAAUCUACUGUUAUGUUACUUGCAUGUUUGCAAUCCCGGUUUUGGCAGUCAUAAAGACAAGCCAAAACUCCUUCAUACUUUUCCCUGUUUAAAUCCGAACGGAGCAACUUCCAUAUUCCGUGGAUAACGCUAUUAGAGAUCUUUUGCUUUACCCUCUCUCUCGAAUGACUGUUUCAAUCUACUGUAAGUAUUUGUUCACUCAAUCGCCUACUGUAUCUGCUAUUCCCAAUGCAAUAUUAGCUGUUCUAGAGCUUACAUUAACAAUAUUAGCUGUAUGUGCUUUUGUGGCCAAUAUAGAUAAGAAAUUCCCAUUUAUAUUGCUCUGUAUAUGAUCGUUAAUUAAUAUACACUAUUUGUAAUACAAUCCACAUUCCAUUAACUUCCAUCUACAUCUCCUACUUACUCACUACUAUACUUGGCCAUCCCUCGGGCCGGGCCAACCAAAGCCCGACGCAAAAAACCUAGGCCUGGCUGUCGGGUCGGGCCAACCAAAGUCCGAUGCAAAAAACCCAAGCCCGAGCUCGGCCUAGCCCUGCUGUCGGGCCCGAGCCCAGCCCGCCGGGCCUUGGGCCACAGGCCGGGCCUCUUCCUUAAAGGCGAAAACAACGGGCCCGGGCCUGCCCUGGCCAGUGCUUCGGGCUCAAAACCUAGGCCCAAGCCCAGCCCAUGGACAAGGUCAGCCCGGGUCGGGUCGGGCCGACCGGGCCGGGCUGCCCAUGGCCAGGACUACUCACUACCAUCAUCGCUUCUAAUUCGCUUCUUGCGCCAUUUGGCGCAACCAGGUCAUCUAGUAAGAGUAAUAAUCGGCAAGCUCGUGUAGCUGCAGUCCGACUGGGAGGGGGCUUUGCUACCCCGGCGCAGCGCUAAGUUAUUAUAAAUAGUGGCAGAACAAGGAUGAGGAUUGGCCUCCAAUAGUCGAGAGCCUCCACGGUCGCCUGAAACAUUCAUUCCAAGCCUUGUCGGGUUUCUUCGCCGGAGCUGCGAUAUACCACUUCGACCGAACCACCGAAAUGCAGCUUCCCACGUCGCCAAUGGAGGGGAAUAACAGGGAUCACAACGACAGUUCCCACAGCCAACAACUGGACAACGAAGAUAGACUCAGCGCUCUAACUGAUGAUAUUUUACUGUCCAUCUUGGGGAGAGUCAGUUCACUUGUGGCUACAAGGACAAGUGUGCUCUCUACACGGUGGAGGCAUCUGCCUUGGUUGCUGCCUGAACUCAGCAUCGAUGUCCAGGAUUUCCUAUCCGCUCCAUACGCUGACCUUGUUGAGGCAAAUGAUAUGGAACAAGCCAUGGUGUCUUUGUCCAAAGCAACCAGGAGUUUGUUAGAUAAACAACAGAGAGGAUCCACUAUCUCAAGUUUGCGCCUUAACCUCUAUUUGAUCAACACUUUCCUUUGCGAAGUUGGCCCACUGUUAGGUGAUGCAAUCGACAGUGGUUUGUUGAAAGAUUUAGAUCUCGGCAUUCUUGAUGAGACAAAGACUCUGGACCGUAGAGACGAAGAGAUGCAACAGCGAGCUCAAGACAUAGAUGUUUUUUUCACUACCUACCCUAGUGUGCUCCACUACCUCACAAAGCUCUUUCUAAAAAAUGUAGGCUUUGACAAAUUGGACAUGCACCAUGUCCUGUUUGACUGCUGCAAGCAACUUAAGCAUCUAACCCUUUAUCAUUGUGAUACUGGUUCCUACUCUGUCUUUAAGAUUGAUGCGCCAGACUCAAAACUCUGUGUUCUUGAAAUUGAGAAGUGUCGCUUUCUGAGAAUCGACCUUGUCUGCCUCCCCAAAUUGGAGAAGUUCUUUUGUGAGUCUUGGAUAUCUCAGUGUGCCCCAUUGACCUUUGGUUUUGUCCCAUCACUUGGGCAAUUAGAACUCUCAUGUGGUUCAGUUUGUGAGGAAGACAUAUUUAAAUUAAGUGAGCUUCUACAUGGAGUAACAAGCAUACAUACUCUCUCAUUGGAUUUCCAAGGUGAAGCCCUUUGGUUGCAACCUGAAAUGGAGGAACUCCGCACCGCAUUCAGCAAGCUAAGGAAGCUGUACGUACGUUGUAUAUUUGUUGAAUUUGACAUUUUAUGGACAACGGCCUUUCUUGUAGCAGCACCAUCUGUCGAAAUGUUACAUAUUGAGGUAUGGGAACAUACAUGCGAUUUGGGCGAGGCCAGACCCGCUUCCUACCUUGACAGGAGUCCAAAGUGGGAAAUGCACUUGGAUAGCAGCUCCGAGAACAAGUUUCUGAAAGAGCUAGAAUUCGCUGGAUUUAAAUCGCUAGAACAACAGUUUACAUUUAUAAGGUCCAUGUUGGAGCGAUCUCCCAACUUGCAAAAGAUAGUAUUGAGAGAUGAUGAGCAGUGUGCUGAUUGUGGCGCCCUUGAGGCACCUCGUCUUUCAAGAUUUCCACGCAAGGAGGAGCAAGAAGUGGUUGUUAAGCGGAUUAGAGAUGGCAUGUUCUCGCCGGAGAUAAAUUUUCAUGGAUAAGGAGGGAUGACUUAUCUCAGGCCAAAUAAUUUUUCAGGCCAUCUUCAUCAUCCGGCGGUCUCUAUGACGAUGAGGGAGUAAUUCAUCCUCAGGACUGAGGGUAUGUAUCAGUAGAUAUGUAUUUGAUCCAAGGUUUACGAGUCGACGAGUCGUCCCAAGUGUUGUUUAAGAAAGGUCAUCUCUUCCUACACCUCCUACGGAUUGAUAAAUCUUAGGUCAUCCACUUAAGGAAAUUUGCUAUUAUCCUACAAAUUCUGCGCUUGGAGACCCAACAGAGCCUGCAAGAAGAAGGUUGCCCAGUAGACAUCACUCGGUGACAACAACGUGUUUGGAGAGCUCAAGGACCUGCCUCCACAUCGAUAGUACGGCCACACAAUCACGUUGGUCAAUGGUGCGCAACUAGAAAACACAAGACCUUACCGCUACUCGCCCUUGCAAAAGGACAAGAUCGAACAGCAAGUCUGAGAUAUGUGGCAGUCUAUGAUGAUAUCUCACAACAUGAGUCCAUUUGCCCCAUUAGUCCUCCAAGUCAAGAAAAAGGACGGAUCUUCGCAAUUCUACAUCGACUAGUGUUGUCUCAAUGACAUCGUCGUGAACAACAGAUUUCCACUACCGAUUGUCGACGAGCUCCUCGGUGCCACUGACUUCUUUAAGUUGGACUUGCGAGCGAGCUACCAUCAGAUCCACAUGUGGGAGAGCGACACGGAGAAGGCGGCGUUUAAAACUCACCACUGCCACUUUCAUUUUUGGGUCAUGCCCUCAGCCUGACGAACAUGCCAGCCACGAGUACGUGCGUAAAUUCGUGAUCAUUUUUCUGGAUGACAUCUUGGUGUAUAGCACCAUGUUGCAGGAACAUGAGGAGCAUCUACUAGCGGUGUUCGAGCUACUCCGUUAAAAUCAUCUUUACGCCAAAAUGUCCAAGUGUUGUUCGCCAAGGACAACAUCGGCUACCUCGGUCACGUCAUCUCGCGACGGUGUCGCUAUGGACGCAGAGAAGGCAUAUGCCAUGCUCAACUGGCCAACGCCAUCCAUGUCAAUAGAGUUGUGCACCUUUCUCGGCCUCACAGGCUACUACAGAAAGUUUGUGGAGUGGCGUCAUUAGCAUGCCACUGGCAAAUCUCUUGACGAAGAAACGACUCGAGAGGACCGCGCAAGCUCAGAUGACCUUCGAUCUUCUCAAGAGCGCCAUGGCAAGUGCUUCGGUGCCCGAAUUCUGUCAAGCCCUUUCACUUCUACUCCCUCCCUCCCAUAAUGUAAGACAUUGAGCCGCUAAGGGAGUAGUUCACACUCUUUCUGUUUCACAAUGUAGUGCAUAUAGAAUUAUUUUUUCGAGAAGUCAAACUUUACAAAUUUUGACCAAAUUUGUAAAAAAGGCAUAUACAUUUAGAAUACCAAAUACAUAUCCCUAGAUACAUCA